rnacentral:rRNA from 1 species
UGGGCGAAGCCUGAUGCAGCGACGCCGCGUGGGGGAUGACGGCCUUCGGGUUGUAAACCUCUUUCAGUAGGGAAGAAGCGAAAGUGACGGUACCUGCAGAAGAAGCGCCGGCUAACUACGUGCCAGCAGCCGCGGUAAUACGUAGGGCGCAAGCGUUGUCCGGAAUUAUUGGGCGUAAAGAGCUCGUAGGUGGCUUGUCGCGUCUGCCGUGAAAACCCGAGGCUCAACCUCGGGCGUGCGGUGGGUACGGGCAGGCUAGAGUGUGGUAGGGGAGACUGGAACUCCUGGUGUAGCGGUGAAAUGCGCAGAUAUCAGGAAGAACACCGAUGGCGAAGGCAGGUCUCUGGGCCAUUACUGACACUGAGGAGCGAAAGCAUGGGUAGCGAACAGGAUUAGAUACCCUGGUAGUCCAUGCCGUAAACGUUGGGCACUAGAUGUGGGGGACAUUCCACGUUUUCCGCGUCGUAGCUAACGCAUUAAGUGCCCCGCCUGGGGAGUACGGCCGCAAGGCUAAAACUCAAAGGAAUUGACGGGGGCCCGCACAAGCGGCGGAGCAUGCUGAUUAAUUCGAUGCAACGCGAAGAACCUUACCAAGGCUUGACAUGCACCGGGCGACUGCAGAGAUGUGGUUUUCUUCGGACUGGUGCACAGGUGGUGCAUGGUUGUCGUCAGCUCGUGUCGUGAGAUGUUGGGUUAAGUCCCGCAACGAGCGCAACCCUCGUUCUAUGUUGCCAGCACGUCAUGGUGGGGACUCAUAGGAGACUGCCGGGGUCAACUCGGAGGAAGGU